CAGUAGCCGCGGUAAUACCAGCACCUCGAGUGGUCAGGAGGUUUAUUGGGCCUAAAGCAUCCGUAGCCGGUUGCAUAAGUUUUCGGUUAAAUCUAUGCGCUUAACGUAUAGGCCGCCGAAAAUACUGUGCAGCUAGGGAGUGGGAGAGGUACACGGUACUCGAUAGGAAGGGGUAAAAUCCUUUGAUCUAUUGAUGACCACCUGUGGCGAAGGCGGUGUACCAGAACACGUUCGACGGUGAGGGAUGAAAGCUGGGGGAGCAAACAGGAUUAGAUACCCGAGUAGUCCCUGUCUCUUAUAA
rnacentral:rRNA from 1 species